AUUGAACGCUGGCGGCAUGCUUUACACAUGCAAGUCGAACGGUAACAGGCCGCAAGGUGCUGACGAGUGGCGAACGGGUGAGUAAUGCAUCGGAACGUGCCCAGUCGUGGGGGAUAACGCAGCGAAAGCUGCGCUAAUACCGCAUACGAUCUAUGGAUGAAAGCGGGGGACCGAAAGGCCUCGCGCGAUUGGAGCGGCCGAUGUCAGAUUAGGUAGUUGGUGGGGUAAAGGCUAACCAAGCCAACGAUCUGUAGCUGGUCUGAGAGGACGACCAGCCACACUGGGACUGAGACACGGCCCAGACUCCUACGGGAGGCAGCAGUGGGGAAUUUUGGACAAUGGGCGCAAGCCUGAUCCAGCAAUGCCGCGUGCAGGAAGAAGGCCUUCGGGUUGUAAACUGCUUUUGUACGGAACGAGACGGUCCGGGUUAAUACCUUGGGCUAAUGACGGUACCGUAAGAAUAAGCACUGGCUAACUACGUGCCAGCAGCCGCCGCAGUAA
rnacentral:rRNA from 1 species